CCGAGUUUACAACUCCCAAACCCCUGUGAACAUACCAAUUGUUGCCUCGGCGGAUCAGCCCGCUCCCGGUAAAACGGGACGGCCCGCCAGAGGACCCCUAAACUCUGUUUCUAUAUGUAACUUCUGAGUAAAACAACAAAUAAAUCA
rnacentral:misc_RNA from 1 species